rnacentral:rRNA from 1 species
GACGAACGCUGGCGGCGUGCCUAAUACAUGCAAGUAGAACGCUGAAACUUGGUGCUUGCACCGAGCGGAUGAGUUGCGAACGGGUGAGUAACGCGUAGGUAACCUGCCUGGUAGCGGGGGAUAACUAUUGGAAACGAUAGCUAAUACCGCAUAAGAGUAGAUGUUGCAUGACAUUUGCUUAAAAGGUGCAAUUGCACCACUACCAGAUGGACCUGCGUUGUAUUAGCUAGUUGGUGGGGUAACGGCUCACCAAGGCGACGAUACAUAGCCGACCUGAGAGGGUGGUUGGCCAAACUGGGACUUGGAAACGGCCCAGACUCCUACGGGAGGCAGCAGUAGGGAAGCUUCGGCCAUGGACGGAAGUCUGACCGAGCAACGCCGCGUGAGGGAAGAAGGUUUUCGGAUCGUAAAGCUCUGUUGUAAGAGAAGAACGAGUGUGAGAGUGGAAAGUUCACACUGUGACGGUAUCUUAACAGAAAGGGACGGCUAACUACGUG